UUUAAGUGCAGCCAUUUUUCGUGCCCAACUUUGAUCGUCCAUCUUAUCUGAAAAUUUUUUGUAAUAAGUAUUUUUGUUGUUAUGAAUAGUACUUUACUCGUGACUUAUGUUUUUAAUUUUUUUUUAUCAAAGUUGGACAUGUAAAACCAUGGUUGCACUUAAA
rnacentral:pre_miRNA from 1 species